AAAUUUAAAGGUAUAAAUUUAUCAUUUUCUAU
rnacentral:tRNA from 1 species